rnacentral:rRNA from 1 species
UACGUAGGGCGCAAGCGUUGUCCGGAAUUAUUGGGCGUAAAGAGCUCGUAGGCGGUCUGUUGCGUCUGCCGUGAAAACCCGAGGCUUAACCUCGGGCCUGCGGUGGAUACGGGCAGACUAGAGGUAGGUAGGGGAGAAGGGAAUUCCCGGUGUAGCGGUGAAAUGCGCAGAUAUCGGGAGGAACACCGGUGGCGAAGGCGGUUCUCUGGGCCUUACCUGACGCUGAGGAGCGAAAGCGUGGGGAGCAAACAGG